rnacentral:rRNA from 1 species
GAUGAACGCUAGCGGCAGGCUUAACACAUGCAAGUCGAGGGGUAGAGGAAGCUUGCUUCCUUGAGACCGGCGCACGGGUGCGUAACGCGUAUACAAUCUACCUUUUACAGAGGGAUAGCCCAGAGAAAUUUGGAUUAAAUGCCCCAUAGUGUUAUCGAAUCGCAUGGUUUGAUAACUAAAGUUCCAACGGUAUAAGAUGAGCAUGCGUCCAUUAGCUAGAUGGUAAGGUAACGGCUUACCAUGGCUACGA